UGGUUAAAGCACAUGAUUUCUUUUUUAGACAUGAAGAACCCAAGUCUUCGUAAUGGAAUUGGCUCAAUCCUGAUAGACUCAUAGCACCGGAAUCAGAGCACCUCCCUUCUGGAUCUGGCCAGGACACCCUUGUCUGCUGGAGAGGGCGGGUGAUGCCCACGCUCUGCGUCAGAUCUAGCCUCUCUCUGAGUUCCUCUGAGUCUUGGCAGCCGAGUGCUCUCCCUGGAAUGUUCCACCAUCCACAAGGGGAAAUUUGGACACAGGCAGACAUGCACACAGGGAGGACACCGUGUGUAGAUGGAGGCACUGAUGGGGUGACGCUUCUACAAGCCCAGGAACAUCGAAGGCUGCCAGCAGACCAGCAGGACCGGGAGAGAGGCCUGGGCAGGCUCUCCUCACAGCACCAGAAGGAAC